rnacentral:lncRNA from 1 species
ACUUAGGUUCACAAAUACAACCUACAACUAAGUUGAAUACAGCCCAGUGAGAUCACUUGUUCCCAUACCAUGCAGCUCUUCAGUGUGACAGCUGAAACCCAGCAAGAUCUGGAAGAAGAUGGAGCUCACCGAGGCAAGAUGGGACCAGCAGGCUGUGUGAGGGCUCAGAUCGGCUCGAGAACCUGCUCACCACACCAUACGUAGAGUGUGGUGUCCACACUUUAAGUAUCCAGCUCGGUCACAUAGCUCCUGCCUUUCUCACUGGCUAUGUCACACACAUCAGACAGAGGAACGGGGAGAUCUGAGGUGCAGGAAGCAGCU